GUUCCCAUGGCCUAGCGGGUAGUGUUCCCGUUUUCUAAUUUGUGGUCGUGGGUUCGAACCCCACGAGUGCCA